GACGUGGGGGCGCGAGCGUUGUCCGGAUUUAUUGGGCGUAAAGCGCUCGCAGGUGGUUCGUCGCGUCGUGCGUGAAAGACCCCGGCUCAACUGGGGAGUGUCGUGCGAUACGGGCGGACUGGAGGCCAGUAGGGGGAUGCGGAAUUCCGGGUGUAGUGGUGGAAUGCGUAGAGAUCCGGAGGAACACCAGCGGCGAAGGCGGCAUCCUGGACUGGUCC
rnacentral:rRNA from 1 species